GGCCUCCCAAAGUGCUGGGAUUACAGGCGUGAGCCACCGCGCCCGGCCUGAAUGCUUGAAUUUUGAAAACUAUUGACCCCAUUUCUCCCUCCGGCUACAUCCGUCCCCCAACUCCCUGCUCCGCUUAGUGUAGUAAUCAUUACACUAUCGAGGAGAUAGUGUAAUUCCUCGAAAGACUUGUCUAUGUCUGAUAUUUCCUCCUAUUCUUUCUGGAUCCACUCCAGCCUGGCUUUUGGCUCCCACAGUACCAGAAAUGCCCUGAUUUAAGGCCACCAGUGACAUCCACAGCACCGAAUCCAAUAGCCAUCUCUCAGUCUGACUGACACAGGGAGAAGGCGGCUGUCUGCAAGCCAGGAAGAGAGCCCUCACCGAGAACCACAUCAGCCAGCACCCUGACCUUGGACUUCUCAGCCCCCAGAACUGAAAGGACAUGAUUCGUAAAUGUCUGGUGGGAUGGAUUUUUGGACUGAACAUACCCUACAGGACCAGCACCCAGACCAAGAGAUGGAACAUUGCCAGCACCCCUGAAACCCUACUUGGGCCCACAAUGGUCACAAAUCCUUGCCACCCCCUCCCCAUGCCCCAAAGCAACCACUCCUCUAACAGCAUAAAUUAGCUCUGCUUGUUUUUAUGGUUUAAAUAAAUGGAAUCACAGAGUGUUUA